AUUUUCAAGUUUUCAAGACAAGAAUGUUUGUAGAAGAGUUGCAGAAUGUUCAGUAUUGAAGUGACCCAGGUUGAUUGUUGAAUGCUUGCUUGCUAGUGCUGUACAUAUGACAAAUGUAGCUUGAAUCUUUGCAAAUUUUGUCCUAGCUAGAAGAUUGGUUUGGUGAUAGUAUCUGUACCUUGUAGUUUUCCUUUAAUUGUCUUUAUUCUGCUCUGGAGGUACGUUAAAAAGGAAAAUCAUUACAUGGCUUCUUUUGCAUCACAAGAGAAAAAAAUCAUGCUGCUGAAUGUAUACAGACAAGAUUUACCUGUAGUUAUUCCAAGAAUAAUUCUUCUCAAGGUUACAUGGUGAUUCAGCCUCUAUUAUGAAGUAGUGGCAUUCUGAUGCUAUUUUAAUCAUGGUUUACA
rnacentral:lncRNA from 1 species